GUGACCUGCGGAGGAUCAUUAUC
rnacentral:rRNA from 1 species